GGCCAUGUUGCUCAGUGGUAAGAGCACUGGUCUCGUAAACCAGGGGUCGUGAGUUCAGCUCUCACCAAGGCCU